AAAUUCGAAUCGACAUUCGACC
rnacentral:miRNA from 1 species